AGUCGAGCGAGUCUGCCUUGAGAUCGGAGUGCUUGCACUCUGUGAAACAAGAUACAGGCUAGCGGCGGACGGGUGAGUAACACGUGGGUAACCUGCCCAAGAGGUCGGGAUAACACCUGGAAACAGAUGCUAAUACCGGAUAACAACAGAUGAUGCCUAUCAACUGUUUAAAAGAUGGUUCUGCUAUCACUCUUGGAUGGACCUGCGGUGCAUUAGCUAGUUGGUAGGGUAACGGCCUACCAAGGCGAUGAUGCAUAGCCGAGUUGAGAGACUGAUCGGCCACAUUGGGACUGAGACACGGCCCAAACUCCUACGGGAGGCAGCAGUAGGGAAUCUUCCACAAUGGACGCAAGUCUGAUGGAGCAACGCCGCGUGAGUGAAGAAGGGUUUCGGCUCGUAAAGCUCUGUUGUUGGUGAAGAAGGACAGGGGUAGUAACUGACCUUUGUUUGACGGUAAUCAAUUAGAAAGUCACGGCUAACUACGUGCCAGCAGCCGCGGUAAUACGUAGGUGGCAAGCGUUGUCCGGAUUUAUUGGGCGUAAAGCGAGUGCAGGCGGCUCGAUAAGUCUGAUGUGAAAGCCUUCGGCUCAACCGGAGAAUUGCAUCAGAAACUGUCGAGCUUGAGUACAGAAGAGGAGAGUGGAACUCCAUGUGUAGCGGUGAAAUGCGUAGAUAUAUGGAAGAACACCGGUGGCGAAAGCGGCUCUCUGGUCUGUUACUGA
rnacentral:rRNA from 1 species